UUUUUUUAAUAUAAUAAAAGAAAAAAACUGUAUUGAAAUUUGAAACCCUAGCGUGCCUCUUUUCCUUCACACUCCCUCCUCACGAUGCUCUACAGCGCCUCCCUCUUCAUCUCCGCCACCAUAAGCCUCCAUCUUCUCCUCCUUGAUUAGGCAUCAAGACUCUAUUUUCCCCUAUAGCCUCUUACCAUUCAUGACCUUUUUCCCUUUUUGCAACAGCCCCGGCGUUCGUUUUUCACAUCACAAGUGAGAACCAGUCACCACACACAAUCUCUAUAUCGUCCCUCACCGUUAUCUUCUUACAGCCUUCUCUUCCGUUGUGGCAUCUCACUUUUCAGCUACUGAACAAAUAAAGGGGACAACAAAUGAAUGAGGUUUUAACCAUUAACAAUAGUUAUAUCCUUUAAGUUGUAUGAUAAGGUUUGUGUUUUGUUUUGGUUUGUGGGUUGCUGUUCUGUAGUAGAAUUUUCUGGUUUUGGGGUACGGCAGCUGCAGAUGAGUCGGAUUACUAGCCUCGUAUCAGGUGUUUCUCUCAUUCCUCCCGAUUCAUUACUUCGGAGUGGUAGUAUUUUAGCUCAAAGUACUGGUUUUUAACUUUUAUUAUAAUUCUUUUGCUCACAUAUUUUGAUUGAACUAGCAUCAGAAAACUACUAUUUUUUAUUUGAGAUAUGGAAUAUUGGUUAAGAAUGAAUCUUUUAUGUUCUAAUGUUAAAUGGUAAUCAGUGCAUAAUUCUUGUUAUUUUAUACCUUAGGUUGGUUUCAAUUCUUUGCUUUUGAUCCAUACCUUCAACCUCUUCUAUGACAUCUUUGUCAUUGACACACAAUCAGACACUACUCAGUUAUAAUGCUAUUGUUUAUUUACGAUUUAUGAAGAACUUGAAAGUACAUGAGUAUAUAGGACAAUUGUUUUAGUCCACUUUUUCUAAGGAUUCUGCAAAACCUUUCAUCUGUCAAUGUCCAUUAACUGCUAUAAAAUUGGCUGGCUAGUACUUCCAAUUCCUCUAUACCUCCAUGGGCUAUAGGGUAAGUAAGUUAUGUUCUUUUUCUUGUGUUGAUUUUAAUGUUAGAGGUUUUAGUUAAGCAUAUGUGAUAACUUGAAUCACUUUAAAUUAACGUUAAGAAGCUACAUCUAGAGGGAAGAUUAAAUCAAAUAGUAGAUAAAGAUCUAAUUUGAAAGUGACUUAGUUGAAUUGGAAGAAAUGGUACACGUUGCAUUCUUGUGUACACAUUUUAGGUGACUUUGUUGAUUAUGUGGAAUUGCAUAUCCCUGACUCUUAAGCAUCAAUUGUAAAUAUUAUAGUAUGUGACCAAACCUUCUAAAUUAGUAAUUGUCCUUUUUACCUCUUUUUUUCCCUACAAUGUUGAACUGUGUGUUUGAUUUUGAUGAAGGGUGGUGGAAAGGUACAGUGGUCCUAUGAAAACUUCCUAAUUUUUCUUAUCGUUUAUCUUUUGUUUGGUUUGUGGUGUAUUAUAGGCAUGCUUAUGCAACAACUUUUCUUCUUUUGUUUAAAUGAGAAUAGGUUGCAGGUGACAGCAUAAACUUACUGAGGAUUCAAUUGAUGUACUUCAUGGGAUAUUUGGUUGGUAGAGGAGUGGAGUUAAAGCCAUUACUUUAUUAUUUAUUAUUUUCCUCUGCAGGAGUAACUGGACUGAUUACCUUUGGUAUUUAAUUUAGAUUUGAAUCCCUUGAAUAGAGUUGAUGCAUGUAGAAGUUUAUUAUCAAAUUAUACCAACUAAUGCUGCUUUAUCGAUUUGAUUAAAAUUAUGAAAUUGAAACAGAUCUAUGUGAACAGAACUGCAAUGUGAAAUUAAUGGAUUAGUUUUUAAUGUGUUCAUAAUUAAAACCUUUACUAGAAAAAACCAGCAUAAUUUGUAUUGGUUAAUACACCAAUCUACUAAGGAUGCUAAUAGAUUUAACCAACAAAAUCAGUUUGGUUAAUACACAAUCUACUAAGCAUAAUUCACCAAAAUCUGUUUGUUAGUUCACAUGCUAAUAGAUUAAUUUUGUGCAUACCAUUCACAUGGUAUUAGAAUAAAAAUCACAUGCUUUCACUUGUUAUUAGAACUAUGUGCUUUUAAUUUGUAUUACUUGCAGUUUGGUAAUAGAAUAGAAAUCAUUUGGUUUCACUUGUUCUUUAAAUUAUGUGUUUUCACUUGGUAUAGUCUGUACUUUGACACGUGCAAUGUAUGGGCUAGUUAAUUGUGUUCUUUAAUGAUGAUACAAUAUUCUAAUAUUAUUUAAUAUUUAUUUAGGUAUUUGGAGAUUCAACACCAUUUCACGAGGACGAAGUUUCGAAUGUUCAAGAAAGUUUAGCAAAUUUGAUUCUUGAAUUUAUAUGAAGUAGCCUAAGAUUGUUUAGAUUUAAUUUGGUUAGGCGUGUUUUGGUAGUAGUCUAAGAUUGUGUAGCUUUGCUUAGGCUUGUUUGUGCUUUUGUUUGGAGCAUAAGAUUGUUUAGUUUUAGUAGGAGAUAUUUAGAUCCGAUGGUACUUUCGGAAUAGUAUUUCAUGAAUAUUUUGUAACUUAAUUUAAGUACAAUUUGGUGGUAUGAUAUUUGGUUUUAUGAUAUUUUUUAUUGAAGGUAGUGAUGAAGUUUCGAUUUA